GGUGAACGCAUUAAUAAGUCCUUUGGCCUUUUUAAAAGCUCCAACAAAACCCUUACGGAAUUUUUCCUGUUAACAGAGUGCAUGUGUCGAUUCGUUUGAUGUAUAGAAAUUAGUCAGGUGGAUGUGUUGAAUGUUUAUCAGAGAUCUAUAAAGCUGAAAAAUGGAAGAGGAAGUCUUAAGAUACAAAUAUAAUCUACUUCUCAUACUGGAAUUUACCCUUUCUAGAGAGACAAGUUUGAAAGAGAGGCUAAAAGUGUUGGGAUCUGUUCUACAAAAGGGCCUCAAGACAGAGUCAGUUUUGUUUUCUUAAUAUUUUGAAUUUCUGAUUUUAUUUACUUGUUUUUUCAUGUUCAGUUCUUUAAAGAUCGGCAUUACCUAGAGACGUAAUGGGAUCACUAUUUCGCUGGAACUGGGAGAAAAGACAUUCUAGAGACAAAUCAUUCGAUUGGCUGUGGAGUUGGAAAUAGUAUAUUUCCUUUGAUUGCUGCAUACCCAGAUGUUUUGUUCAUGCAUGUGAUUUUUGUACCAUGUGCUGUUGACUUGGUCAAGAUGUUGGGUUCAAGUUGAAUUCCACUUUUUGGAUGAUCUGAGCUCCACUUUUUGUGAGGAAACUUCAGGCAAGGUGAACCUAAUUGGUCAAGAGGUUGUGGAGCCGCAUGCUGGUGAGAAUGCUUUGAAGGCGCCUGUGAAAAAUUUUGAGGUUGAAAUAUCUGGGGGUCUGCUUUUGCGAUGUUUGGAAUUUCACCAUCUGAUGAUGAGAUGAUUGUGGUCAACCUGAAAGGGUGCAAUUUUAAGGUUAAAGUACCAUCCAAAGAGAACUAAAACAACUGCAAAUCUACUGGCUUGAUGUUAUGGGAAUCAGCUUUUUAACAGCUGUUGUCCUAGCAAGGAAUUCAACCAUUGUUGCAGGGAAAAGGGUGUCAGAGUUGGGAUCUGGCUUUGCGGGCAUCUGCUCUAUGGCUGCUGUUGGCUUAGCUAAUUGUUAGGAACCCCAACUCUUAUUCAACCAAAACACAAAAUUAAAAUACAAAAAACAUAAUAACUAAAACUAUUUCAUUAACCAAAACAUUACAAAGAUAAACCGAACAAUUCGAAGAGUUCGGGGCCUCUCAUUUUUCGACCGUUCGAGGCGCCGGAGACCUCCCUAAAUCAGCCAAGAAUGGCUGCCCUCAAACCAAAACCCUAAUACAUUUUUCCUUCUUCCCUUUUGAAACUUAAAACACAUAUUUAUAAUAAAGAGUGACCGUUGGAUUGAGGACAAGUAUCCUAAUUCUAACAUUUCUCUCCCCUUCAAAAUCAUCUUGUCCUCAAGAUGAGUUUUUUUUUUUUUUAAGCUGUCUCUGCCUGUCCAAAGCUGUUUCUCGCCCACUGUUUUUACUUUUUUAAUUUUUUUUUUCAUUUACAAUUGUCUUUUUUUUCUUUAAUAUAUAUAUAUAUAUAUUUUUUCUCUCUCCUAUUGCUUCUUCACUACUUUUUUUUUUUCUCUUUCCAACGCCCCACAUAUUCUCUUCUUUUUCUCUUUCCAAUAAACCCACCUACUGCCUUCCCUCCUAUUUUCCCAAGCAAACCACAACUCUCUUUUUCCCAACAAGCCACCGCCACUGCCCUCCAGCCCUCUUUUUAUUUUAUUUUUCUCUCCUUUCUCUUUCUUCUCCUUGUCUUUUUCUUUUCUUCUUUCUUCUCCUUCUUCCUUCUGCUUUCUCUGCGUUUGCCUAUGUAAUUUUUUUUUUUUCAGACUCUUGUCGACGUUCCCUUUUCAUCCUCCUUCUUCCUCCGUUUUCAUUUUCUUCUUCUUCUCUCUUUUUUUUUUUUGGCACUUUUCCAAUAGCCACUAACUCAUUUCUCCCAUUCUUCUUCAAGUUAGCGUCCUCCGUAAACAUUUUCCGACGACUCUUUACUUUUCCGGCCACCAUCUAUCUUCCUUGUUGGAUUGAAUGCUUUGAUACCAUUUGUUAGGAACCCCAGCUCUUAUUCAACCAAAACACAAAAUUAAAAUACAAAAAAUAUAAUAACUAAAACUAUUUCAUUAAUCAAAACAUUACAAAGAUAAACCGAACAAUUCAAGGAGUUCGGGGCCUCCCAUUUUUUGGUCGUUCGAGGCGUUGAAGACCUCCCUAAAUCAGCCAAGAAUGGCUGCCCUCAAACCAAAACCCUAAUACAUUUUUCCUUCUUCCCUUUUGAAACUUAAAACACAUAUUUAUAAUAAAGAGUGAUCAUUGGAUUGAGGACAAGUAUCUCAAUCCUAACAUUUCCCUCCCCUUCAAAUGGUAUCAGAGCAUUCGAUCCAACGGGAAAGAUAGAUGGUGGCCGGAAAAGUAAAGAGUCGUCGAAAAAUGUUUAUGGAGGAGGCUGACUUGAAGAAGAAUGGGAGAAAUGAGUCGGUGGCUACUGGAAAAGUGCCAAAAAAAAAAAAGAGAGAAGAAGAAGAAAAUGAAGACAGAGGAAGAAGGAGGAUGAAAAGGAAACAUCGGCAAGAGUCUAAAAAAAAAAAAUUACAUAGGCAAACGCAGAGAAAGCAAAAGGAAGAAGAAAGAAGGACGAAGGAAAAGAAAGAAGAAAAGAGAAAGGAGAGAAAAAUAAAAUAAAAUAAAAAGAGGGUUGGAGGGCAGCGGCGGUGGCUUGUUGGGAAAAGGAGAGUUGUGGUUUGCUUGGGAAAAUAGGAGGGAAGGCAGUAGGUGGGUUUAUUGGAAAGAGAAAAAGAAGAGAAGAUGUGGGGCAUUGGAAAGAGAAAAAAAAAGUGGUGAAGAAGCAAUAGGAGAGAGAAAAAAUAUAUAUAUAUAUUAAAGAAAAAAAAGACAGCUGUAAAUGAAAAAAAAAUUAAAAAAGUAAAAACAGUGGGCGGGAAAUAGCUUUGGAUAGACAGAGACAGGUUAAAAAAAAAAAACUCAUUUUGAGGACAAGAUGAUUUUGAAGGGGAGGGAAAUGUUAGGAUUGGGAUACUUGUCCUUAAUCCAACGGUCACUCUUUAUUAUAAAUAUGUGUUUUAAGUUUCAAAAGGGAAGAAGGAAAAAUGCAUUAGGGUUUUGGUUUGAGGGCAACCAUUCUUGGCUGAUUUAGGGAGGUCUCCGGCGCCUCGAACGGCUGGAAAAUGGGAGGCCCCGAACUCCUCGAAUUGUUCGGUUUAUCUUUGUAAUGUUUUGGUUAAUGAAAUAAUUUUAGUUAUUAUGUUUUUUGUAUUUUAAUUUUGUAUUUUGGUUAAAUAAGAACUGGGGUUCCUAACACUAGCCAUGUGAUAGCCACAGAUGGAGAUAGAAAAGCAUUUGAUCUGUUGACCAAAAAUGUCAUCUCAAACCUUAGACCACUGACCCUGGGCAAAGUUACUACAAAGAGGAGCCAUCAAGGAUGCAAAUAGUGGGGGGUUUGGAGUCAUUUUGGGCGCUGAAGCUAUAUUACCUUUAUUUGCAACUGCAGAAGAGUUGAUUUCUCCUUUGAGCAGUGACACUGGAGAGGAUCAACAAUCAGCAUUAGUUUUGUUUAAUAUCUUUCGCAGAGAUGAUGAAUCAUUUAUACUUUCAUCGACAUCACAAUAUGGUUUUAGCUUGUUGACAAGUGGCUGUCACGAAAUCCUGCAAAUUCAUCUAAAAAGCAUCAUUAGCUCUUGGGUCCAGUUGAGGUAUAUAUCGGUGAAAUAUGUAUGAGUAGUUAUGAAAUGAGAUUGGACAAUUAUGAAACAUGUAGGUGCAGUUAUGAAAGUGGAAUGGGUAGGUAUGAAGCAUGUAUGGACAGUUAUGAAAUGAGCAAACAUAAAAGAGAGACUGGGAAAGUGGAGUAAGGGAGAAGAAAUUGGGUUUUGUUUGAACAACUUUUGACUGAUUGAGGGGGAGAGUCUAGCUUAACGAAAGCUAGACAAAUUAGAGAGUGUUCUUGUCUCUCGAACAGCCAAAAGUGGAGAACAUUGACCUCUCAGAUAGUUGAAUUAUUCAUUUGAGAAUAUAUAAAAUACAGUGUAGAGAGUUGUUCCA